UGCCUAAUACAUGCAAGUCGAGCGAAUGAUGAGAAGCUUGCUCUCUGAUUAGCGGCGGACGGGUGAGUAACACGUGGGCAACCUACCCUAUAGAUUGGGAUAACACAGGGAAACCUGUGCUAAUACCGAAUAAUACCUUUCUCUUCAUGGAGAAUGGUUGAAAGAUGGUUUCGGCUAUCACUAUAGGAUGGGCCCGCGGCGCAUUAGCUAGUUGGUGAGGUAAUGGCUCACCAAGGCAACGAUGCGUAGCCGACCUGAGAGGGUGAUCGGCCACACUGGGACUGAGACACGGCCCAGACUCCUACGGGAGGCAGCAGUAGGGAAUCUUCCACAAUGGGCGAAAGCCUGAUGGAGCAAUGCCGCGUGAGUGAAGAAGGAUUUCGGUUCGUAAAACUCUGUUGUAAGGGAAGAACAAGUAGCGUAGUAACUGGCGUUACCUUGACGGUACCUUAUUAGAAAGCCACGGCUAACUACGUGCCAGCCGCCGC
rnacentral:rRNA from 1 species